rnacentral:rRNA from 1 species
AGGACAAGAUUCUGCAUGUGCUCCUGGAUGACCCUCGACAGCGAUACGAUAACGGCCUGGACCAAAACGCUGGGAGAAUAAGGAGAGGGCAAGUCUGGUGUCAGCCGCCGCGGUAAUACCAAAUCUCCAGUGGUGUGGAUGUUUAUUGGGCCUAAAACAUCCGUAGCUGGCCAGGCAAGUCCCCUGUUAAAUCCACCGAAUCAAUCGUUGGAUUGCGGGGGAUACUGCCCGGGUAGGGGAACUAAAGAGGCCGACGGUAUUUCCGGGGUAGGGGUGAAAUCCUAUAAUCCCGGGAGGACCACCAGUGGCGAAGGCUGUCGGCUAAAACGCGCCCGACGGUGAGGGAUGAAAGCUGGGGGAGCGAACCGGAUUAGAUACCCGGGUAGUCCCACCUGUAAACAAUGCAGGCUAAGUGUUUGGGCGGCCACUGCCCCUCUAGUGCCGCAGGAAACUGUUAAACCUUGCCCUGGGGAGUACCGCCGCAAGGUGAAAAUUAAAGGAAUUGGCG